rnacentral:miRNA from 2 species
UCAAUGUGUUCCCCCUCUCAGG